ACACGACUACAUUAGACUACCCUGUAGUCCUAGGCGUAAAUGAUGCGAGUUAAGUGGUGGGGGCAUCUACGAGAUGGCCCUGUGCUGUAGGGUAGCCGUUAAACUCGCUGCCGUGGGGAGUACGGUCGCAAGGCUAGAAACUUAAAGGAAUUGGCGGGGAGCACCACAAGAGGUGGAGGCUGCGGUUCAAUUGGACUCAACGCCGGAAAACUCAUCGGGAGCGACAGCAGUAUGAUUGCCAGGUUGAUGACCUUGCUUGACAAGCUG
rnacentral:rRNA from 1 species